rnacentral:tRNA from 2 species
AAAAAGAUAAGCUAACUAAGCUACUGGGAUCAUACACCAUUUAUAAAGGUUUUAAUCUUUUUCUUUUUA